rnacentral:rRNA from 1 species
GUGGGGAAUAUUCCACAAUGGGCGAAAGCCUGAUGGAGCAACGCCGCGUGAAGGAUGAAGGUCUUCGGAUUGUAAACUUCUUUUAUGAGUGAAGAAUAUGACGGUAACCCAUGAAUAAGCACCGGCUAACUACGUGCCAGCAGCCGCGGUCAUACGUAGGGUGCAAGCAUUAUCCGGAGUGACUGGGCGUAAAGAGUUGCGUAGGCGGUUAUGUAAGCGAAUAGUGAAACCUGGUGGCUCAACCACACAGACUAUUAUUCGAACUGCAUAACUCGAGAAUGGUAGAGGUAACUGGAAUUUCUUGUGUAGGAGUGAAAUCCGUAGAUAUAAGAAGGAACACCAAUGGCGUAGGCAGGUUACUGGGCCAUUUCUGACGCUAAGGCACGAAAGCGUGGGGAGCGAACCGGAUUAGAAACCCGGGUAGUCC